UCCGUAGGUGAACCUGCGGAAGGAUCAUUAACAGAAUCGGAUGGCGUGCUCGCGCGCCGCUCGUUCUCACCCCUGUGUCUACCUGUAAAUCGUGUGUUGCCUUGGCAGGCGGGUUGCGCUUGUGCAACCCACAGCCUGCCGGUGGACCCUGUAACACUUGUCAUCGUGUGCUGUCUGAGUAAAUAUACAUAAAUAGGUAAAAACUUUCAACAACGGAUCUCUUGGUUCUGGCAUCGAUGAAGAACGCAGCGAAAUGCGAUAAGUAAUGUGAAUUGCAGAAUUCAGUGAAUCAUCGAAUCUUUGAACGCACAUUGCGCCCUCUGGUAUUCCAGGGGGCAUGCCUGUUCGAGCGUCAUUAACACCCCUCACGCCCCCCGGGGCGUGGUCUUGGGCUCGCCCUGCUGUCUGGCCGGGCCUGCCUCAAAAUCAGUGGCGGCGUUCGUCGAACCCCCUAAGCGUAGUAACAAUCACGAUGCUUGCUGGGCGUUGGAUGGAGGCUUGCUGUGAACCCCCACCCCACACGAUGUUGACCUCGGAUCAGGUAGGGAUACCCGCUGAACUUAAGCAUAUCAAUAAGCGGAGGAAAAGAAACCAACAGGGAUUGCCUCAGUAACGGCGAGUGAAGCGGCAACAGCUCAAAUUUGAAAGCUGGCUCUGUUGCAGGGCCCGCGUUGUAAUUUGUAGAGGAUGCUUCGGGCGCGGCGCUGGUCUAAGUUCUUUGGAACAAGACGUCAUAGAGGGUGAGAAUCCCGUAUGUGACUAGCUUGCCUGUGCCUGUGUGAAGCUCCUUCGACGAGUCGAGUUGUUUGGGAAUGCAGCUCAAAAUGGGUGGUGUACUUCAUCUAAAGCUAAAUAUUGGCCAGAGAC
rnacentral:rRNA from 1 species